AGAUUAUGUGACCGAUGAUAAUGGGAUCGUCAUCCCGACUGACCCGUCACCGAUGGACGGCGGUCUGAUCGCGGGGGCCGUUAUCGGAGCGAUCGCCUGCGCAGCACUGAUCCUGGCCGGGAUGUACUAUGUCUUUAGUGUGAAGGCCGUAAAACCAGGAGAUAUCAGCUUCUUCAAACACGAAACCAAGAAUAUUGAUGUGCCUGCGUUCACCAACCCGAACUUUGCUGGAGAAUCUGACACAUGAACCGUGGGAGAUUCAUCUGUUUCUGUACAGGAACUAAAGCACUGAAAUAUGUUCAAUCAGCACUGAAACGGAAUCAUACAAUCAUCAGCCUACAGAUUUUUUUUGUACUUUUUUGUAUGCAUGUUAGUAUUCUUGUUCACAUUUUGUAAAUUGUUUUUAAAUAUGCACGAAUGCAUUGUUGCGGUAAUGUUUAUUGUCUGUACAGUUGUUUCUUGAAAUUAAUUUAAAAUAAAUAUAUUACUAAACAGCAUUAGACAUUUUUUCAAAACUUUGACAUUGUGUUAAAGCAUGUCUUUUGAUUGGCAGCUGGUGGAGGCGAGGCUAAAACACCCAAACAACAGCAUCUUUAGAAAAGAUUUCCAAAAACACAGACGUAAUCAAACUUCAUAAGAUUCUGAACAUACAUGAGUUCACAUGACUGAAAUCAACGCCAACAGCUGUGUCAGAGUUUAACGAUUCGAGUUGAGAUUUUCACUCUAUUAAUCUAGUUUAUUUCUGCAACAGUGCCUUGUACACUGGCCAUCUUUACGCUGGUUUAUAGAUUUAUCAAACAGUUGGGGUCAGAGAGCCUCUGUCUGGAAAUGAGAUAUUUGCAGCUUUAUUCCCUGCUCAUAAUAAU
rnacentral:lncRNA from 1 species